AACGAACGCUGGCGGCAGGCUUAACACAUGCAAGUCGAGCGCCCCGCAAGGGGAGCGGCAGACGGGUGAGUAACGGGUGGGAAUCUACCCAUCUCUACGGAAUAACGCAUGGAAACGUGUGCUAAUACCGUAUACGUCCUUCGGGAGAAAGAUUUAUGGGAGAUGGAUGAGCACGCGUUGGAUUAGCUAGUGGGUGGGGUAAAGGCAUACCAAGGCGACGAUCAAUAGCUGGUCUGAGAGGAUGAUCAGCCACACUGGGACUGAGACACGGGCCAGACUCCUACGGGAGGCAGCAGUGGAGAAUAUUGGACAAUGGGCGCAAGCCUGAUCCAGCCAUGCCGCGUGAGUGAUGAAGGCCCUAGGGUUGUUAAGCUCUGUCAGCGGUGAAGAUAAUGACGGUAACCGGAGAAGAAGCCCCGGCUAACUUCGUGCCAGCCGCCGCGGUAAUAC
rnacentral:rRNA from 1 species